UCCGAGUGACGAUGGAGAGAAUAGCGACGCUGGAAUCGUUUUGAAACCGAUUGCUUGGAGAGGUUCAUCGACCCCAUUAAACGGUUUCCCUGGCAAUGGCAGGAAAUUAGAGCCAAUCAGGGCUCCGCUACACAACAAUCUUUGUUCACCAUCGCCUACAACAAGUCCAGUUUUUGAUAAAGAUAAUCAAUUGGAACAGUUCUGUAAUGGUCAUAGUCGUUCGUUUCGACCACGACCGAAUGAAGAAGAUUGUGACGUCAUGUUAUGACGUCAUCGUUGUCAAUUUCACGAUGACGUCAUCAUCAUAAAUUAUUAAAAUAAUCCUUUCUCAACACUUGAUGUCUUCACGAUGGCAAAAUCAGUUCGUCAUUUUGGGGCGGCUUCGGUUACGUCAUGGUGACGCCACUAUGAGGAAGUUUCCAUAGCAACGCGAGCUUUUAUGUCGAAUUUAGUGACAUCUUAGAGCAGUGGAAAAUCAGAGCAAUUUCAAAUGGGAAUUUUAUAGUUAGAAUCAAUGAUAUUUAUUAGGGCAAUUCUUUAUCUAAUUAUUUGUAGAUAUAAAAUGUAUAUAAUAUAUAUUUGCAUGUAAUUGGGUUAUAUACAAUAUGUGAAUAUAUUGUAUUUAAAUUGCAUCAUGUAGGCAGCCUUAACUCUGUUUUAUGAAAUACGCAAUGAAUAAAUAAUGUUUUCAUGUGAUUUAUAUUCACAUGACAGUCAAAUGGUAUUUUAUUUAUUCAAUUUAAAAGCAUGCACUUUUAGUAAAUAAAAUGACAUUGCUGAACCAAGCGACAAUUUUAGAAAAGAAAUAUUCUGUUAAAUGCUGUGAACAUU